rnacentral:lncRNA from 10 species
CAGUAAUUAGCAGAAUUCAAGGGUAUCUUGAAUUUUCCCUCUAAGUUUGAUUUUCUUGUGGUUUUAUUAAACAGAUACAGAUGGAGGCAGUAGCAUGGUAACACCUCAAAAUCAAGCAUCCAGCAGCUGAAUCCGAAAAACACAAGGAACAAGGUGGUCUCAAAAAUUUGGAGUGAAGCCAGAGGUGAAGUGAGACUUUCUGAAGCUGCAACAAUACCUCUACUCUACUUAAAGCAAUUUCUGGUGUCAUCACCAUGAGAAGGACAUACCACCCCAGAAUAAGGAGAGGCAAAUGGAUUAGACUUGAAAUGAACCCAGAGCCUGGAUUCAAGCACAGCCAAACCCAGCUUGGAUCUCAUAAUUCCCAGUCCUGUGCAGAAGAACCGUGAGACCUACAAUAUAUUUCCAUACCUUCUUUCAAGAAAUAAAUGCUCAAUUUUGUAAGACA